rnacentral:rRNA from 1 species
UGAGUAACCUGCCCUUAACUCUGGGAUAAGCCUGGGAAACUGGGUCUAAUACCGGAUAUGACUCCUCAUCGCAUGGUGGGGGGUGGAAAGCUUUAUUGUGGUUUUGGAUGGACUCGCGGCCUAGCACGCUUGUUGGUGAGGUAAUGGCUCACCAAGGCGACCACGGGUAGCCGGCCUGAGAGGCUGACCGGCCACACUGGGACUGAAACACGGCCCAGACUCCUACGGCAGGCACCAGUGGGGAAUAUUGCACAAUGGGCGAAAGCCUGAUGCAGCGACGCCACGUGAGGGAUGACGGCCUUCGAGUUGUGAACCUCUUUCAUUAAGGAAGAAGCGAAAGUGACAGUACCUGCAGAAGAAGCUCCGGCUAACUACAUGCCAGCAGCCGCGGUAAUACGUAGGGCGCACGCGUUAUCCGGAAUUAUUGGGCGUAAAGAGCUCGUAGGCGGUUUGUCGCGUCUGCCGUGAAAGUCCGGGGCUCAACUCCGGAUCUGCGGUGGGUACGGGCAGACUAGAGUGAUGUAGGGGAGACUGGAAUUCCUGGUGUAGCGGUGAAAUGCGCAGAUAUCAGGAGGAACACCGAUGGCGAAGGCAGGUCUCUGGGCAUUAACUGACGCUGAGGAGCGAAAGCAUGGGGAGCGAACAGGAUUAGAUACCCUGGUAGUCCAUGCCGUAAACGUUGGGCACUAGGUGUGGGGGACAUUCCACGUUUUCCGCGCCGUAGCUAACGCAUUAAGUGCCCCGCCUGGGGAGUACGGCCGCAAGGCUAAAACUCAAAGGAAUUGACGGGGGCCCGCACAAGCGGCGGAGCAUGCGGAUUAAUUCGAUGCAACGCGAAGAACCUUACCAAGGCUUGACAUGAACCGGAAAUACCUGGAAACAGGUGCCCCGCUUGCGGUCGGUUUACAGGUGGUGCAUGGUUGUCGUCAGCUCGUGUCGUGAGAUGUUGGGUUAAGUCCCGCAACGAGCGCAACCCUCGUUCUAUGUUGCCAGCGCGUUAUGGCGGGGACUCAUAGGAGACUGCCGGGGUCAACUCGGAGGAAGGUGGGGACGACGUCAAAUCAUCAUGCCCCUUAUGUCUUGGGCUUCACGCAUGCUACAAUGGCCGGUACAAAGGGUUGCGAUACUGUGAGGUGGAGCUAAUCCCAAAAAGCCGGUCUCAGUUCGGAUUGGGGUCUGCAACUCGACCCCAUGAAGUCGGAGUCGCUAGUAAUCGCAGAUCAGCAACGCUGCGGUGAAUACGUUCCCGGGCCUUGUACACACCGCCCGUCAAGUCACGAAAGUUGGUAACACCCGAAGCCGGUGGCCUAACCCCUUGUGGGAGGGAGC